rnacentral:rRNA from 1 species
UACGGAGGGUGCAAGCGUUAUCCGGAUUCACUGGGUUUAAAGGGUUCGUAGGCGGCCAUGUAAGUCAGGGGUGAAAUCUUCGAGCUUAACUCGGAAACUGCCGUUGAUACUAUCUGUCUUGAAUACCGUGGAGGUGAGCGGAAUAUGUCAUGUAGCGGUGAAAUGCUUAGAUAUGACAUAGAACACCAAUUGCGAAGGCAGCUCGCUACACGAAUAUUGACUCUGAGGCACGAAAGCGUGGGGAGCAAACAGG